UGGGGAAUAUUGCACAAUGGGCGCAAGCCUGAUGCAGCCAUGCCGCGUGUAUGAAGAAGGCCUUCGGGUUGUAAAGUACUUUCAGCGGGGAGGAAGGGAGUAAAGUUAAUACCUUUGCUCAUUGACGUUACCCGCAGAAGAAGCACCGGCUAACUCCGUGCCAGCAGCCGCGGUAAUACGGAGGGUGCAAGCGUUAAUCGGAAUUACUGGGCGUAAAGCGCACGCAGGCGGUUUGUUAAGUCAGAUGUGAAAUCCCCGGGCUCAACCUGGGAACUGAGUCUGAAACUGGAAAGCUUGAGUCUCGUAGAGGGGGGUAGAAUUCCAGGUGUAGCGGUGAAAUGCGUAGAGAUCUGGAGGAAUACCGGUGGCGAAGGCGGCCCCCUGGACGAAGACUGACGCUCAGGUGCGAAAGCGUGGGGAGCAAACAGG
rnacentral:rRNA from 1 species